AGAGUUUGAUCAUGGCUCAGAUUGAACGCUGGCGGCAGGCCUAACACAUGCAAGUCGAACGGUAACAGGAAGCAGCUUGCUGCUUUGCUGACGAGUGGCGGACGGGUGAGUAAUGUCUGGGAAACUGCCUGAUGGAGGGGGAUAACUACUGGAAACGGUAGCUAAUACCGCAUAACGUCGCAAGACCAAAGAGGGGGACCUUCGGGCCUCUUGCCAUCGGAUGUGCCCAGAUGGGAUUAGCUAGUAGGUGGGGUAACGGCUCACCUAGGCGACGAUCCCUAGCUGGUCUGAGAGGAUGACCAGCCACACUGGAACUGAGACACGGUCCAGACUCCUACGGGAGGCAGCAGUGGGGAAUAUUGCACAAUGGGCGCAAGCCUGAUGCAGCCAUGCCGCGUGUAUGAAGAAGGGGCCUUCGGGUUUUAAAGUACUUUCGCGGGGAGGAAGGGAAAGUACUUUCAGCGGGGAGGAAGGGAGUAAAGUUAAUACCUUUGCUCAUUGACGUUACCCGCAGAAGAAGCACCGGCUAACUCCGUGCCAGCAGCCGCGGUAAUACGGAGGGUGCAAGCGUUAAUCGGAAUUACUGGGCGUAAAGCGCACGCAGGCGGUUUGUUAAGUCAGAUGUGAAAUCCCCGGGCUCAACCUGGGAACUGCAUCUGAUACUGGCAAGCUUGAGUCUCGUAGAGGGGGGUAGAAUUCCAGGUGUAGCGGUGAAAUGCGUAGAGAUCUGGAGGAAUACCGGUGGCGAAGGCGGCCCCCUGGACGAAGACUGACGCUCAGGUGCGAAAGCGUGGGGAGCAAACAGGAUUAGAUACCCUGGUAGUCCACGCCGUAAACGAUGUCGACUUGGAGGUUGUGCCCUUGAGGCGUGGCUUCCGGAGCUAACGCGUUAAGUCGACCGCCUGGGGAGUACGGCCGCAAGGUUAAAACUCAAAUGAAUUGACGGGGGCCCGCACAAGCGGUGGAGCAUGUGGUUUAAUUCGAUGCAACGCGAAGAACCUUACCUGGUCUUGACAUCCACGGAAGUUUUCAGAGAUGAGAAUGUGCCUUCGGGAACCGUGAGACAGGUGCUGCAUGGCUGUCGUCAGCUCGUGUUGUGAAAUGUUGGGUUAAGUCCCGCAACGAGCGCAACCCUUAUCCUUUGUUGCCAGCGGUCCGGCCGGGAACUCAAAGGAGACUGCCAGUGAUAAACUGGAGGAAGGUGGGGAUGACGUCAAGUCAUCAUGGCCCUUACGACCAGGGCUACACACGUGCUACAAUGGCGCAUACAAAGUGAAGCGACCUCGCGAGAGCAAGCGGACCUCAUAAAGUGCGUCGUAGUCCGGAUUGGAGUCUGCAACUCGACUCCAUGAAGUCGGAAUCGCUAGUAAUCGUGGAUCAGAAUGCCACGGUGAAUACGUUCCCGGGCCUUGUACACACCGCCCGUCACACCAUGGGAGUGGGUUGCAAAAGAAGUAGGUAGCUUAACCUUCGGGAGGGCGCUUACCACUUUGUGAUUCAUGACUGGGGUGAAGUCGUAACAAGGUAACCGUAGGGGAACCUGCGGUUG
rnacentral:rRNA from 1 species